GAUUCAGAAGUUUAAGAGGUUAAACCUGUCCCACUAUGACCAUCUUACUAAGUUGAUUAUCUUAGGAAGAAUUUUUGUUUCAUUAACGCCCGACAUCAUUGAAUUCCCUCCAAACCUUAUCUACCUUUGCCUUGGACACGCGGUAUUCAUUGAGGAUCCAAUGAAGGUACUAAAGGAACUACCCAGAUUAGAGAUCCUUGGUUUGAUGUAUUGUAAUUACAGCCAAUCAAUCACGUUCGAUUUCUCAGGAGAGAACAGCUUUCCAGAGCUUCAAGUUUUGUCAAUUAUAGGAGUUACUGUAGACAGAAUUCCGGAGUUGAUUGUGGAUCAAACAGGGAUGCCAAAGCUUUACAAGUUUGAGUGCUCCGAAAAAGACUUAAAUGUUCCCGAGAGACUACGUAAAAUAAUGGUGGAGUCUUCCUUGUUCCCGAGUAUUGAAGAGGUUAGUGUGCUUGUUCUAGAUCUUAUUAUGGUUUAUACUGUUUCUUCCUUGUUUUCUCCUUUCCUUAAAAUAAAAUAUUGAAAUACUCUUUUCUUUUUCCGUACAAUAUUGUGGAGAUAUAAAUUUAAAAUUUAACAUAAUCCAAAAUUUUUCUUUUAAGCAAAUUUAUAAUUCAAACACAGAGAUUAAUAAUUAGUUAACUGGAGUAGACGAUAUUGAAUACAAUUGAGGGAUGUGUUUCAAAAAUUUUAGUUGUUAUAUUCAAUCAAGAUUACCAAACACAGAAAGAUGGGAUAAGAGUUUUUGAACCAAAGUCAUUCAUAAUUCAAGAUGUUAGGAUUAUUUUGCACUAGUAUGCAUCAUGCUUUUAUUUAUAUAUUUUUGUAACCAUCUAUUACAAAAAUAAUAAUAGCUAAUGCUUUGGGUAUUUGUUUGAGUUUAAAUUGAUAGAACUCAUUGAUGAUUAGUUUCAUAAUACAGGAGCACUUGAUUUAUUUAAUUUUGUUUGUUUGUCUUAUGUGUUGGUGGUAGCUUUGAAUCAACAAAAAGAGGAGGCUUAUCAAGGUGGACUUCUUGAGUAUUCAUCUUUUUUACUUGUCAAAAGUGAAUAUGGACAUUAUAGUGCUUUCUUGCUGCACCAAUAAUAGGUGUCGAUGUGUCAUACGAUUUAGUAUCGGUGGUAGUCAUGCUUUUCGUGAGUUUCAUGUCAUUUUAGUGUGUUUUCUUUAGUUUGCUUGUGAGUGAUCAUGUUCAAUAUUUUUUGUUACUUUGUAAAAUAUUUGUCCUUGGACAAUGUUCUCACUUUCUUGACAAUAAAUUUGUAUUUUCUAGAAAUUCACUAUUGAAUAAUCUUAUUUAUUUUUUAAUCAUUAAAUGAAUAUCUCACAUAAAGACUUUUAAUUCUUCUCGAGUCGUGAUUGGCCAUAAACAAUGAGAGUUUAUCUGUAUGAAUGAUGUAGAUGUUUUCCAAAUCUCGGUAGACUAGGAUACCAUAUCAUCUGCCUAUGUAAUGUUGUUGUUUUUUUCUUUUUUCUUUUCUUUUUUCUCUUUGUUAUGACGGGGGACCUACAGUCGCUACCCUUUGGGUGCGUACUAGGUAAACCUACAAAUUGACACAAUAGCUUCCGAACCACGCUAGCCAGGUAAACAGUGCUAGACAAGUCCCGUGCGACAGGCUCAACCGAGAAAGUACUGGUAGGAGGAAACGAACUUGUGACCAAAUGUCUCUGCGCUCACAUACUUUACCAAUUCGACCACCCUAUGAGAGGCUCUUACCUGGGUGUGUGCUUGGUUAUUCGUGCUUAGUUCCUUUAAUUAUUUUUGAACAAUUAAAGGAUUAUUAAAGUCAUUCAAGCAACACUCAAGCCGAAAACAUGCACAGAAACCAAUUGUACCACUUAUUAUUUUUGAACAAAAGACAACUGAGGAUUACAAAUUUAAAUACUCCUUAAAUACUAAAUAAAGGCCAAACAACUAAAAGAAAGACAAUACUUAAAAUUUUUUAAUCAAAAUUGCAAGUGGAAUACAUUAUUUGGUCUUUAUUCAGUUUAUACGUAUUGGAUAUAUUUAUUUUUAUCGUAAUACACAAUCUUAUUUCAUCAUCAAUUUGGACAAAACUAAUGCUUCAACUAGGGAUGGCAAUGGGCCGAGGGUAAGCUCGGCUCGAGCUCGUGAAAAACAAGUGGAGCUCGAGCUCGGCUCGUUGCUCGGGCCCACGAGCUCGUGAGCUCACGAGCCACGAGCUCACAGGUUGAGCCCAUGAGCCGCUCCUGAGCUCAUGAUUUUUUUAAAUUUUUUUCUUUUUGUAAAUUUGCACAUUUUUUUACGAGCUUGACGGUUCACGAGCCGCUCGCGGGCUCGGCUUGUGGAAUUGAGCCCCCCGCUCGGCUUAGGCUCUUCAAAUCGUCCACGAGCCGAAUUUUAAAGAGCCGACGAGCCACUCGACCCGUUUGACAUCCCUAGCUUCAACCAUUAAUCGAUUUUUGUAUAUCGUUUCCAAUUUUUGAGUUAUUGGUGCAUUAUUUCGAAUGUGGCGUGCCAAACAAGUUAGUUAAGAUUACCUAAAGAUCUUAGGGUCCGUUUGAUUGUAAAGAUGAAAUUCGGGUGAAAAUAAAACGAAUUCCAAAGUAUUGAAUUGCCUAAAAAUUAUUUUAUUGGGAAUUGUUAUUUAUUGUGUUUGAUUUGUAUAAUUUUUCUCCUGAAAAAUGUUGAAAUAAAAGUGUUUUUGGUGUUCGUUUGGAUUUGUUUUAUAUAAAAAUUGUCAAUUAAAGGAAUUAAAUUUACUGGUAUUGGAAAUAGAAUUUGUUUCCAUUGUUAAAAAAAAAAAGCCCAAAAAAAUCAUCUAUCUUUUGGUGUUCGUUUGAUUUUAUUUUACAUGAAAAUUGUGAAUUUAUUUUCCUUUACAAUUAGGGAUAGAAUUUGUUUCCAUUGCUAAAAAAAAAAAAUAAAAAAAAAAUAAAAUAAAAUAAAACCGACAGCAUAGCCUAGAAAACCAAUUGCCUCCUAUUAAAAACCAAGAAAAAGUCCAUGUGGUAAGAAAACCAAGAAAAUAAAUUCCAUGGAAAAAAAUUGACAUCAAGCAUGGCAAAAGUGGGAAAGUGGAAUUCAUUUUCUAUUUUCCAAGGAAAUCAUGGCCUAUCAAACAUGGCCUUAGGUCAAGUUGAUGGAUUAUUUGCUUUUAUUUAUUUUUAUGGGUCUACUUUCAUUGGUUACUUAUUUUCGUUUUUUGUCCUUAUACAAGCAAGUCCGUGGUUGUUAGGUCUGAAUGAAAUGAACUAUCCUCUCAUUACUGAAUUAAAAAAUUGCCUUCUUUCUUAUUUCAUUAGUCUUCGUUUACUUAAAUCAAUACAGAAAGACUUUCAUGAUUAAUUUACCAAAGUAAUACAGAUGUUGGGAAGGACGUAUACAUCUAUGAUGUACUACUACUAAUAAAUAACGACCACCAGGGGCAGCAGCACGGUCCAGUUUUUCAGCCCAUUUCAUUUUGAUGGAUUAAAGGUUUUUUAAUUUUUUAUAUGUUAAAAAUAUUUUUUUUCGUGUAAUUUUUUUUUUUUUGACAUAUUAAUCUGACUUGGAAUUUAUUUUAGUCUGAUUCCAAAUCCCCUCCUCAACAACACUAUGCCAUUUGAGAACUAUUAUUUAUAUGUACAAAUAUUCAAUUUCACACAAAAAGUGCAAUUUUCACACCAUCUUAGUUAAUCAUCUUCAACUUAUUACACCAAUUAUACUCAAAAUCAAUCGUUUCCUUUAUUUCCUUAUUUUUAAUUCUCUACAAUAAAUUUUGAAAGUUCAAAUUAUUUAGACCCAAUGUACGGAAUUAAUCACUUAAAAGUAAUAAGUCACUUCUUAAUUGUUUCUAGAUGAUUAAUGUUAAAUUCAAUUUAACCUUAUGUGUCAAUCAAAUAUUUUAAUCAAUCAGAUCAAAAGCAAUAAAUAAAUUAACACUAGAUAUGAUCACGGAGGAAAACUCUUCUAUGGGAUCAAAAACCUCUAGGAAAACUUUCCAAUAAACUCUACUAGAAAAAUUAACUUACAAUUAAUUCAAACAUUGCCAUACCUUACCUGACUGUUGCCACAUAGUUUGCAAAUUACCAAGAAACUCUUUUGGUUGUGCGCCCUGCACUUUUUAGAACUUUGGACCACUUUUCUCUCAUGUGGAUCACUAAGAACGAACUCGUCCCCAAUCGAAACUCUGAUCACUUCCUGGAUUUUUAGAACUCUAACGGACAUGUUGGAAGUAAGUGGGUGAUUUGGUGUUUAAUCAAUAGAUCUUUCUGUGUUUUGAUUUGUGGUAUAAUAUAGAUAAUUCUGGCUCAACCUAUCAAAGUAUGUUCGUGAUGAAUUAUGAAUAAGUAAUCAAGAGGCUAAAUCAAGAGAACUUUGGCCAGUGUUUUGGAUAUUGAAAUAAUGUUCUCUAUAAUGAUUGCACAUAUAUCUUCAUCAAAAAGUAAAUCCGGAUUUAUUAACAGAGUAUUCAUUAUCUCCUUCAAUGUUUGAGAAAAUAUGGUGCGAUAGUUCAAUGAAUAAUUCCAUGUUCCAAACAAAAUUGUUUGAAAGGGGAAUCAUAAUUUCUAUCCCUAUCACUUUUUUAUUGCAUCAAUCUUUUUCUUAAGUGGAUUUUCAACCUUUGACUUAUAGUGUUUAAACACUUCAAUUGUUUCGUCUUUGCUUUUGAGUAAACACACAUAGCAAUAUUGAGUAUAAUCAUUGAUAAAGUAUAGUACUUUAUAAGAAACUUCUGAUGAUUUUCGUUAUGAAGAAUGAAAAUAGUAUCAUUAAUCUUGAGCUCUAGAGCUAUGUCUUCAUUGUUUAUAGUUCUAACUCGCAAAUUGACUCUUACUUCAAGACGUUAUCUGAGGCAAUUAUACUGUUUCAAAUAAAAGAUGUAAACUAUUAUUUAGUCAAAAGUCUAUUUCUCUUCUUGGCUAACUGAUCGAAGGAAGAGAAUAUGAUGCCCAAUUAAUUUAGACCAAGUGCAUGUAAGGAAUUGCAAGCAAUGUAAUGCAGGGGAAACUAAGGCCCCGUUUGAUUGCACGAAAUUUUCCAUGGAACUUGGAAUUCGAAUUCCAACUUCCACUUUUGGCCUGUUUGAUUGACAAAAUUUUCCAGGGAAUUGAUUUUCCAUGAAUUUCUAGGUACAACACCUUAAAGCGUGAUUUUCCACCUUUUUUUUCCUAGGGGAUAGAUGGUUUUUGGUUUUCCACCUUUUUUUAUUUUUUGCUUUUUUUAUUUUUUUUUAAUUGUUGGCAAUGGGAACAAAUUUUAGGAAUAAUUGUAAAAGAGGAUAUCCCUGAAAUUGACAAUUUCCACGUAAAACAAAGUCAAACGAACAUCAAAAAAUACUUUUACUUCAACAUUUUCCACGUGAAAAAUUUAUAUAAUCAAACACAAUAAUUUACAAUUUCCAUGAAAACAAUUUCUAGGUAAUUCAAUUCCUUGAAAUUCAUUUUCUUUCCAUGUAAUUUUCCUACUUGUAAUCAAACGCACCCUAAGUGUAUACAAAAAUGUGAGCAAGUGAAUAGCUAUGUUGCUCACAUCUUUCGUUACUUUCUGUUGUUGUGAUUGUUUUGAUUAUAGAAUUUUAUGUUUAAUCGGAUCCGAAUUUUAGUCUCGUCUCUUUUGGUUUAGUGAGUCAGGCGGGUUGGCAAGCAAACUGAAUGGAGAGUGUAUAGGUCUUUUUAGUUAUUAAUGCACCUGUAACUUCGUGUGUGUAGUAAAGAGAGGAACUAAUCAAUUUUGUAGUUUAAAAUCGGAAGCCAUAAUUCUUAAAUUGGUCAAUUGUAAACUGUAUAUGUUGCUAGGGAUCAUUGGCACUAUUUAACCAAUCUUAUAUUAUUUAAUGGAUCUAUAUUUCUGGAGAGUGAUUGCACAUAUAUCUUCAUCAAAAUGUAUGAAAUGCCUACGUGUGAUGGAAAAAUGAAUACAUCCCUACAAGUUAAUGAGUAUUUAGGUGAUCAAUGGUGAGUUUGAAGAGGCUUCAAGAUGAGUUUGAUUAUUAUGCACCCAAGUUCUCUAGGUAUAACAAUCUGGAUCUCUAUAUGGUUUCUUUGUGGAGGCAGUAGUUCUACUACACGGGGAAUAUCAAAUUGAGCAAGACUGUUAAAUGAGAUGGUAACUGUAUUGGGCUAUAGGAACUCAGAAAUUUGGCUGAUGUGAUUCCUGGGAGAGUAAUCCUCAAUUUUGGCUAGCUAAACUCAGCUACUGGAUCAAGAUGUCGAUGUUAUGAUUAUAUGAUUGAUCCUCUGUGUGUAUGCCUUCCUCCUAUUGCUUGUCCCCACCCAAUAGAACUUGUGAAUAUCUGGUUGGCUAAGUUUUAAUCGCGGAAUUUAUUGUCAUUCGUAGAUUUGAGGCUACUAAUUCUUGCAUCACUUGGUGUCUAUCUACAUUACCCACCUCUACAGUAAGGGUUUAUUUUAAAACUCAUUUCUCUCGUAAUUGUGGGCAAUGUGACGUGUUUAUGCUUUACAAUAUUAUCCUAGUGAGGUAAUAAAUGAAGUUCUUAAACCAAUUUUCAUGUUCUUCCUUUGUUCCUCACUCUGCGAUUAUACCUACAUCUAAUAUCACAUGCUUAUCUUUCUUUUGUUGAGAUGAACAUGGACCAUAGUAGUGUUUAGCAAAGUAGUGUGUUUUAACUUAAUAGGAGCCACCCUUAGCAUGUUAGUAUUUUAUGAGCGAUGUUUGUGCUUAGUUUUGUUGGUGUUGGUGUUCGAUUUUGAUGCCCAUUAUAUCUGAGAAAUCAGAUGUCGAAUACUUUAUCGACACUAUGGUUCGGCUCUACCCGAUAACGACCAACACUUUUGGAAGCCCCAAGUUGUAGUUGAGUUGAAUUGAGUUUAUUGGUCUUGGUUUUGGUUAUUAAGUUGUCCAAUUGAUGGCCCAGUUUAGAGGUAGUUUAAGUGGCAGCCCACUUAAAGUUUCUAGGCCCAACUUUAGGGGUAACCAAAUGCAUCCAUAUAUAUUCACUUGGUUUCCUAGCCGCGUGUGCGUGUGCUACAAUAAUAGAAGGGAGAGUGUGAGAAAGUUUGGGGGGGAAUCGGGGAGAUUUCCACCAUUGUUGUUUAUCCUUUCUUCCCCAUUUGUAGUCACCACCUUGUACCUUUGUGGGUACUAAAUAGAGAGCAAACAGAGAGGGUAAAGAGGGCAACCAAAGUGUUUGGAAGUUUUGUGUCGAGCUUGAGUUAGGUGGUAUUCAUUUGAUUGGUUUUUCUGAGCCCCGAUCAAGAUUUCUUGAUAAUUUUCUUGACAUUUUGGGUCGAAAUCUUGAUGAUCCUCCUUACUCAAAUAGAACAAGCCAAAUCCUUGUUGAGUCUUUACUGCUAAGCUUGCAUGCACGAGCCGAACUAGAACUGUAUUUUAGGGUUAGUGAAACUAGAGAGCUGGAGUGGAAAUGGACUUUCUCGUGGGUUAUGUUUUUAAGUCAAUUAUACGAAGUAAAAGAACAAAAAUAACAUUUUUGGUCCAAACUUUAAGUGGGCUACAAAUUUGUCACUAUGGUUGCACACGCCUAAUUACUUGGCUGCCGAAUCCAAUUUGAGGUACAUGUGCCUCAAAUUGUCAUUUGAUGGCUUUUCGUUUGUCAAGAUAAGCUACAGAGUUGAAUGAAAUAUAAUUAAGUAUUUAAUCUUGGUGUUAGCUCUCCUAAAAAAAUUGGUGAUUCGAUCUCAACUUCUCGUAUUGGUACACUAUCAGUGACUGUCACCAAUUUACUUCAUUCAUUAACUGUCAAAACUUUGAAAGUUAUAAAAUGCAAAAAAAAAAAAAAAAAAAUAAUAAUAAUAAUAAUAAAUAAAUAAACAAAAAUAAAUAAAGAUAAAAUUACAAGUUGUUUUGCCAAACCUAUGCUUUUCAAGAAUCUUUCAUGCUUUUAAACUUGGAUUCCGCUGAUAUGUGACUUUGGUUAAUUGGUUGUUGUAGAUACAGAAGAAGGGGAUCAAACAAGAGAUAAUCGUGAGAAAGCUAGAAAACGACCAAGAAUUGAGUGUGGUAUUUCUGUAUUUGGGUGUUGAGAUCUUCUAUUCAUUUAUGAUGUAGUUUUUUCAUGUAGAUUAAGACCAUGUUUGAUUUGGAUUAAAAUCUUAAGUCAACGUCAAUAAAUAAUUUUAAUUACAUAUUUCAUGGAACUCACAGUUUUUCGACCAUACAUUUUUAUCAUAUUUUAUCAAGAUGUACUAAAAAUCUGAUUUUAAUCUACAUCAAUCAUGGGCUAAAAAUUAGAUGUGUUAUGAUUCAUAAUUUGGAUAUCAUAGAAUGACACAAAUUUACAAUACGUAUUCUUCCGUAUACUAAGAUAAAAUUUAUACUUGCUUCUCGUCCCAAAUUGAAAUUUAUCAAUAUCAUUAAUUAGCCAUGUUUGGCCCCUAUUUUCUAAAAUUCAUUUUCAAGAAUACAUUUAAUGAGACCACAACUAUUACCAAAUUUUCAGCCACACAUUCCAUUAUUUUUAAUUAAAAUCUAUUAAUUUUUAUUUUUAUUUUUUAUCUAAACCAAACAAGGGUUUGAUUCUUUAAUUCUAAGCUUAGAGGAAAUGAGGAUAAUUGUUGUUGCGUAUUGUGAUACUUGGCCAACCUACCUGGGCUAAUGGCCCAUUUAGACCGAACCACGUGGCACUCCAGCCGAGGUGGUAUAUAUUGUCGAGGUUGUCUAUAGCCGAAGCCCUUCAAGCUGAAGUCCACUAGCCGAGGCGCCCUUUUAACGAGGCCUGUGAAUGUAAUAGAGGUCCACAUGCUGAGGCCUAUGAACCAAAGUCAUGAUGCUGAAGCUGGUUGAAGUUAGUUGAAGCCAUCAAGUGGAAGUAUUGUAUGAAAUGGCCGAAGCCCCGAAACUGAUGCAGGAGCCUCCGAACCACAAGGGAGCAUCCUCUGUAGUCACUUCUCCCAAGAGAUCGCCUGCACAAAGAUCUUAUUCGAAUGAUUGAUGGAAUGUUUGUCAUAAGCAUAAAUGUCAAGUCUUGUCAUUAGUAUGGGGCUCUGCACAUGUAAUAAAUGCAUCGCAAGCUAGCAAGUCAAAUCUCAUGCCUAGGAUAAGAUGUUUGAAUCAAAGAGAUGAGGCCACGUGACACCUCAUCCAAGGGCUCUCAUUUCACAUAUAACACUAUAAAUACUUUCCUUGUGUAAUAUCAAAAAGCGAAUGCAAGAAUCAAUACAAAGAACUACACUUUACUCAAUUCUCUCUCAUUUACUUGCAAUACACAAAUCGAGUUUAUACACAUUUACAUAUACAUUUACAAACACCGGUUGGUAAUUAUUGUACAAUCGGAUCAUGAACAACCCGCUGGAUUCUGAACUUCACCGUCCUGUGUCGUUGCGCUACUCCCAUGCCAUUUGAACCACUCGUUUUAGACCGUCUACGUGUUUUAGCGUGUUGGAUGCGCGAGUGAGACCGACAUCUAUUGGCAACAUUUUUUGAGGUCAACAAUUGUGAUUACAAGAAAGGAAGUUUCCUUAUUCAUUCUAACCUUUGUCAAGCCAAGAAACGAAUAAAGGGCCAGAAUAAUUUUCCUUUACUCCAACUAUAGGGCCAGAAAGGAUAAACUUUCUGUAGCGUUACCCCCGAAUUAAGGCAAGAAUAAUAUUCUUUACUAUAAAAUCAAGUUUGAAUUUGUUCCUCCCCUCUCAGUGUAUAGAUAUAGGUGUAUUGAAGGCUACUACUUGCACUUGAAAACACCACAUUUGUGUACUCUGUUAGACCGUCUUGCGAUUUCUGUUAGUAAAAUUUUCCAGCCAGGUUAGUAAUAAGAAUAUUAUUGUGAUUGCUUAUAGAGUAUUUAGCUUUUAAAUAUUUUUUGGAUAUAACAAUUUGUUGCUGUGUGACAAACUUUAUCAAUUAUAUCGUCUAGUAUCGUAACAAGAAAUACACAUAAAAUGUUAUCAAUUUAUGUAGAAUAUAUGUGCAAUACAAUAAAAAGAAGAUACUGAAUAAAAAGGUGGUACACCAAACCAUGCAAGUUUGAGUUACCUGUUUCGUAUCAUUUAAAAUCUAGAUUUUAAUUUUAGAGCUUGUUUGGUUCGGAUUAAAAUCUGAUUUUAAUCCAAGUUUAAGUCAAAUAAUCUAGAAAGAAAAGAAGUUAAGUGGAAAUUAAUAUAAUUUUAAGGUGAAGGGAGAUACAAAAUGGGAAUGUCAGUUGCGGCGAUGGGCAUGUUUAGGUGCAACAGUUCAAAAUUUUUUAUUUAUUUAUUUUUUAAUGUAAUAUCGGGACCUAACGUUGGAUAAGUUUUUCCAAUUCAACCUAUUAGUCCGAUUCAAAUUUUAUAACAUUGGUAUUUAUAGAUCCAUAUUGAAAAAAUAUUAAAGAGAAUAUACAAUUUUAAUCUUUCAAGAUGACUUUGCAUAUUUUCGAUGCUAUAUAGAUAUACGUGCUAAGUUUUUAAAAUUAUGUCUUAUCUCUUUUUUCAAUGUCUAUACGAUGGACUUGACAUGCUCUAUUGAUUAACCAUAUUAACGUAUUGCAUUAUUUACCUCAUUGCUACUUACACUAAGGAUGAUUAAGUUAAAAUAAUAAGUUUUGUGACUUUAUCUCUAUUAAGUUAUAAGUUCGUCAUACUACUAAUAAAAUAAUGACAAAACUGUGCCACUAAUCUUUGAGCUAUUUUCUAUUGCUUGAUCAGAUUUCACAUUUGAGAGAAAACAAGAUUAGAUGGCGGAGUCAGCAAUAAUUACAGCUGUCAUUAACCAAGCAGUAGAGAUAGGUGCCAACCUACUUGUCGAAAAAGGUUCACGCUUGUAUCACUUGAAGAAGGACAUAGAAUGGAUCGAAAGCAAGAUGAGACACUUCAAAUCGUGUCUCAAAGAUGCAGAAUUGAAACGAGAUGGAAGCUAUGAAGUUGCUAACUUGAUAAAUGACAUGAGAGAUCUCGCUUUGGACAUCGAGGAUAUUUUGGAUACUUACCUUUCAGAGAUUGAAUCACACCAGGGAAAGAGACCAUUUCGAUUCGUUCAGCGUGCUUCUUGUAUACUAUGUUAUGGUGCCACAGCAAAUGCCGUUGCCCUGGAAAUUGAGGAAAUCAAGAGACGGGCCCAAGAAAUUGAAGCCACUAGAGAAAGAUGCCGUAUUAAUCUCGAUGAGGAUGGAGGUAUGCUGAUUUUAUCCAUUUAGGUCAAUAUAAAUCGGAACUCUUUUCUUCACCAACUGUUGAUUUAUCAAGCUCUAAAUUGCACAGUCAUCUAUAAAUAUGAGAAAGAGGGCUAUUUUUCUUCGUCCAAUUAGUAUGAAAUAGCUUCUAUGGUAGUUAUCCAAAUAAUUAUGUUUUUGUAAGUUAUAAUUAUUGAACCAAAUAUCUUAUGAAUAUGAACCACAUUAAAUCGAACAGGUAAUGCAGAUAUGGAUGUAUGGGAUCGAAGAAAAAAAAUUUUAGUUGCCCCGGAGUCAAUAUUCGUCGGUCGUAGAGAUACACUGCAGGAAGUCAAGGAAAAAUUGAGGAGCUCAAACUUAGAUUGUAAAAUGAUAUGUAUUGUUGGGGACGCAGGUGUGGGUAAGACUACUGCAGGUAAAAAAAUAUAUAAAGAACUGAAAAAUGAAUUUACUUCUUCUGCCUUAGUCUGUCUCAAAUGAGCCUAGACUCCAAGAGCUUCUACUUGAAAUAGCGAAGCAAGUUGGCCUUGAAAAGGAAAAGAUGCACGAAAAUUUGGAGGUCAACUUGCGUUCUCUUCUCAAUGAAAACAGGUACUUAAUUUUUCUUGAUGAUAUUUGGAAAAAUGAAACUUGGGAUGAGUUAAUAAAUGUUAUCCCCAUCAAUUCGAGAAAUUGUAGCAGAAUUAUCAUUACUUCUAGGUAUACUCAUGUGGGCAGAUAUAUUGGUGGUGAAAGCUCAUUGAUUGAAUAGAAACUUUUAGAUCAAGAAAAGAGCUGGGAACUCUUCUCCAAGUCGAUGAAAUCUUCUUCAGAAAAUAUGAGUGAGAUAUUUCCUCCGAUAGAAUUGGAAGAUAUUGCUAAGAAGAUAGUAGAAAGAUGUGGUGGGUUGCUAUUGGCAAUUGUGGUUGUGGUGGGUAUGUUGCGGCAGAGACGAAGAGAUAAACAUGCAUGGAAAGGGGUGCUUGACAGCUUCAGCACAAGUGUUGUAAAUAAGUGUUCAGAUAUCUUGUCUCUGAGUUAUAAAGAUUUAUCUCCUGACUUGAGGCCUUUUUUUCUUGACUUUGGGCUCUUCCCCGAAGAUGAAGAAAUUAAUGUGUCUGAUUUGUGCAAGGCUUGGAUUGCCGAGAAAUUGAUCCAGGAUGAUGGAAAUCAAAAUCCUGAUGACAUUGCGGAUGCUAAAUUAGACAUGUUAAGUGAUAGAAAUUUAAUUCAAGUUUCUGAGAGAGAUUUCGAUGGAAGGUUGAUAAGUUGUUGCAUUCAUGAUCUUCUACACGUAUUUUGCAUCGAAAUAGCCAAGGAGAACAAUUUCUAUUUUACAUGCCAUAAUAUUGGCUCUAAUUCUUUUAAAACUCUUCGUAGGCUUACCAUUGACAACAUCAGUCAAUAUUCUUUUUCAAAUUCUAAAACUCCAAAACUUCGUACCUUGCUCUAUUUCAGUAAAAAUGUGUCUUUGAUUCCUAAUGAGAUAGGAAACUUGAGUAGCUUGACUUGCCUUAAGUUGAGUGGGACAUUUAAAAGGAUGCCUUCAACCAUAAGGAAUCUCAAGAAAUUGGUGACAUUGGAUAUUGGAGAAGCAGAAUUUCUUUUUCAAUUGCCAAGAACUAUUUUGAGGAUGAAGCAUUUGAAGCAUUUACUCUUAGGUGAUGCAAUGUUUGAGUCUAACAAAUGCACAAAAUUGAAUGUCAGAAAUGAGGUGUGUUUACCGAACAUAGAAACUUUAAGUGACGUGCCUGGUACCAUUUUAAAAGCUAGAUCAUUACAAAAACUUUCCAACUUGAGAGAGCUGUGUUUAUAUGACAUAAAUGACGAACAUUUUAAUGAAAUAUCUGGUAAAACACCCAUAUCGGAGAAGCUCUAAAACUUGAACUUGACGGUGACUCAGAAGGUUAAGAAGUUAAACCUAUCCCACUAUGACCAUCUUACUAAGUUGACUCUCAUAGGAAGUUCUAUUCAUUCAUUAACGCCCGACAUCAUUGAAUUCCCUCCAAACCUUAUCUACCUUGUCCUUAAUCAGAUGCCAUUCACUGAGGAUCCAAUGAAGGUACUAAAAGAACUACCCAGACUAGAGAUCCUUUGUUUGUUGUACUGUAGGUAUAGCGACUCGAUCGCGCUAGAUUUAUCAGGAGAAAACAGCUUUCCAGAGCUUCUAGUGUUGACAAUUGAAGUGUCGAUAUUUUAAGGAAUAGAAAUUCCCGAGUUAAUUGU
rnacentral:lncRNA from 1 species